rnacentral:rRNA from 1 species
AUUGAACGCUGGCGGCAGGCUUAACACAUGCAAGUCGAACGGUAGCAGGAGGAAGCUUGCUUUCUUGCUGACGAGUGGCGGACGGGUGAGUAAUGCUUGGGAAUCUGGCUUAUGGAGGGGGAUAACGACGGGAAACUGUCGCUAAUACCGCGUAGUAUCGGAAGAUGAAAGUGCGGGACUGUAAGGCCGCAUGCCAUGAGAUGAGCCUAAGUGGGAUUAGGUAGUUGGUGGGGUAAAGGCCUACCAAGCCUGCGAUCUCUAGCUGGUCUGAGAGGAUGACCAGCCACACUGGAACUGAGACACGGUCCAGACUCCUACGGGAGGCAGCAGUGGGGAAUAUUGCGCAAUGGGGGCAACCCUGACGCAGCCAUGCCGCGUGAAUGAAGAAGGCCUUCGGGUUGUAAAGUUCUUUCGGUAUUGAGGAAGGUUGAUGUGUUAAUAGUACAUCAAAUUGACGUUAAAUACAGAAGAAGCACCGGCUAACUCCGUGCCAGCAGCCGCGGUAAUACGGAGGGUGCGAGCGUUAAU